GAUGAACGCUGGCGGCGUGCCUAAUACAUGCAAGUCGAGCGAACAGACGAGGAUCUUGCUCCUCUUACGUUAGCGGCGGACGGGUGAGGAACACGUGGAUGACCGACCUAUAAGACUGGGAUAACGUCGGGAAACCGGAUCUAGUACAGGAUAAGAUAUAGAACGGCAUGGUUCUAUAGUGAAAGACGUUUCAGCUGUCACUUAGAGAUGUAUGGACGCCGCAGUAGCUAGUUGGUAAGGUGACGGCUUACCAAGGCGACUAUGCGUAGCCGAACUGAGAGGAAGAUCAGUCACACGUGAAAUAGGACACGAUCCAGACACCUACAGGAGGCAGCAGUGUGGAAUAUUGGACAAUGGACGAAAGACUUAACCAUGCAUGCCGCGUGUGAGAAGAAAGUGUUCGGAUUGUAAAGCACUUUAAGGUGGGAGAAAGGGCAGUAAGUUAAUACCUUGCUGUAUUGACGUUACCAACAGGAUAGGCACCGGCUAACUUCGUG
rnacentral:rRNA from 1 species